UGCACAGUGAAUCCAUUACCAACUGCGUAUUCUCCACGUGCGUCUCUUCCGGCCUAAGGCGAGAUAUAAAGCACACCCGUUGUCGUGCCUUAAUCAGUCUUUUCCGCUGUUGCGCGUUCGAAGAUUUAGCCUGAUCCCCGCAUUUCGUCUUUUCAGGAAACAAAGUCGGACUCAUUAAGAAUAUGAAGUUCACCUCUGCCAUUUUCAUGAUGGCGGUACUGGCAGUGUUCCUGGCCAUGAUGACUGCCGCGGAGGAGGGAGCCGAGAACACGGGUGGUGGAGGCAGUAAGUGCAAACGUUACGCAUGUUUGUGUGUUGUAACGAAUGCUUUUCAAAUAAAUUCUUGCGUAGCGCACAGCUGUUGUUUCAUGAAAUGAUAAAUGCCAUUGUGUCUAUAACAUAC